UGAGCAAGCUGUGUGGCAGCGUGCCGUAAGGCAUGAGGAAAGUCCGAGCAUCACAGGGCAGGAUAGCUGCUAACGGCAGCCGAAGGCGACUUUAGGGACAGUGCAACAGAAAGAGACCGCCGGGGAUUUCCCCGGCAAGGAUGGAAAGGCGAGGUAAGAGCUCACCGGGGCAGGGGAGACCCUGCCGCCAUGUAAACCCUAUCCGAUGCAACACCGACUGGGGGGCUAUCGUUGGCCCGACGCUCCCGACGGGUGGCUGGAGCAGGACGGCGACGUCCUGUCGAGAUAGAUUGUCACACACGACAGAACUCGGCUUACAGGCUUGGUCACAAA
rnacentral:RNase_P_RNA from 1 species